rnacentral:rRNA from 1 species
UACGGGGGGUCCUAGCGUUGUUCGGAAUCACUGGGCGUAAAGCGUAUGUAGGUGGACUUGUAAGUCACAUGUGAAAGCCCCAGGCUUAACCUGGGAAGGGCAUGUGAUACUGCUUGUCUUGAGUACUGGAGAGGAUAGUGGAAUUCCUGGUGUAGUGGUGAAAUACGUAGAGAUCAGGAGGAACAUCGGUGGCGAAGGCGGCUAUCUGGCCAGAUACUGACACUGAGAUACGAAAGCGUGGGGAGCAAACAGG